AGCCCCACAGGCUCUGAGCAGUUUUAACAUUGAUACCAACAAGGUAUGGGUCUCAGCAGUUGUAUCCCCGAAUUUUGGACACCAGGUCCUCCAGCAUUCAGAUGGCCAUCAGAACUGGAUUUUAGUGACUUCCUUGGGGCCAAAUGACUUUGGCAGGUUAUAUAAAUGCCAUCUGCAGGAUGAAAUCAGAUGUGAGCUGGCAGACUUGGGAGAAAAUAUCCAGAAAUUGAAAAAAUGGCACACUGGUAUUGCUUUAGCCCAAAACUCGGAGAAGAUUAUGGUUUGCCUCCAGUAUAAACGGAGCCUGAAACGCUUGGCCACCAAGUUGCUGAAUGGCGUUUGCGUCCAACUUGCAGCCAACUUCCAGCCGAAAGCCUUUAUGAACCUGACAGAUAUCAUUCAGACUGGGUUGAAUGUGAGUGGCCGGAAGCAUAAAAGAAGCACAAGUGAGAACCGCUUUGGCAGUGCCGACCCCGACGACUCCAGCCUGAUGCCCGGCAGCAGCUUUCACGAGCCGCUACCUGCCCGUGUAUGCGAAGAAACAACAACCCGAAAUCCUGCAGCUGGAAGCUCUAGGUUCAGCUGCAACAGCCUCAAUGCUAACAACAACAACAACAACCACAAAGAAGAAGAAGAG